AGGACCAAAACAAAAACUUGCCAAAUUCAGCAGCAAUGCAAAAGGAAAAGACGAAAAGAAGAGAGGGGGAAAAGAGCUAGCUCGUUCACAAGACGAAUUCCUUAUCUCGUCUAAUAUCACGCGGCCGAAAAUCCAACGCUAGCUUGCGUUGUAACUGUUAAUGAAUGGGACCAAAACAAAAAAUUGCAAAAUUCAGCCGCAAUGAGAAAAGAAAAAAACGAAAAGAAGAGAGGAGAGAGAGCUAGCCUCCAGCGGAAUGCAACAACAACCAUGGGAUUUGGGAAUUUUUACUGGAAAUUUUGAGAGCAAUUACCCUCUCCCUUUGAAUAUUUCUCCCUGUCGAUCAGUCAUAAAUUGACUUCUGACGAGAGUGGUUGUGCUUUUGUGUUGUUAGUGAAUAAUUAAAAAAAGUGAUCUGCAAGUGGUUUGGUUGAUUUACGCUGCGAAUAUGUGAUAUUAAUUUGUAAAAGUGAUAUUGAAAGCCGGUAAGCUAAGUGAUAGAAUGUAGUUUAUGUGUGGUGAAGUUUAUCUAAAUUAAAUGCAUUUAUCUACAUUCUAUAUAUGUAUGAACGAGUAUAUACAUACACCUAUGUACAUAUUGGAAUAGCUUAUAUAUAACAACUACACUACUAACAUAUGUAUAACAAGAGUUUGAUAUAGUUAAGUGUUAUACAAAGUCGGUCAGGUGAGUGCUCUUCCACUGGAAUGGUUUGAGCUGCUAAUAUUUUACAGUUAUAUAUUAAAAUUAGUAGGUACAUAUACGAGUCUACAUACCUAUAAACCGGAGUGGCUUAAGCUGGAAGUUUAAAUUAAUUUAAAAAUGCGGGUGCUGUGCUGUCUUCGUGCAACUGUUGCCGCUGCUUUUGGUUUUUUUUGGUUUUUGGUAAUGACCACGCAACAACAUCCGUAGCAGGAAAACCCCACUGGCCGGCCAGUGGCAAAUGAAAAAUGGCCACUCCAACUUCAGGACUAACAGCAAUAUGAACCGCACAGGAGCAACAGCAGAAGCAGCAACAGCAACAGCAGCAGCAACAUCACAGGAGCAACAUCAUCCUCAGCAAGGAGAAGAGGUCGUCGCUUUGCUGCUUUGCCCCUUCGCCAAAUUGGAAAAUAUAUAAGGGAAAGGAUACUCACUUGAUGAUCCAGAGACCACCAGACCCAAUUCAGCACUAAUCACCACCGAUGUCACC